CAGUACAACUGAAUGUGUCAAAGUGCAACAUCCAUGAUUAGUUACAAUAAAGUAAAACCCUCGAAACACUAUGAAUCAAUUUAGCACUUAUUAAUAGGAAAUAUCAUGCAUAACUUCAUUUCAUUUCCAAUUUGAGAGCUACAUCACAACAAAUCCAGAAUAUGUACCUAGAAAUGUGAAACAAGGAAGGAAGAGAGGUUCAGCAAGGUGCAGCAACAUGAACAAUAUUCAACCACCCAAAAUAAACCCAAAAAUGAUCGACGAACACCACUUUAAACCAAAUUUAGACCCACAAUCAAACCAAAUAAACUCAGAAUCAAAACACACCCAGAACUUAAAUGCAAACUCCAGAAUAUCAAUCAAACUCAAAUCAUUUCAACCUUUAGCUAGCCGAGAAUUAUUUUAGAGUGAAAACACCAAGGAUUUCAGAAUUUUUUCAAUGGAAUUAUUUUGGAGGUUCUAGCCGUCUAGAAUUUCAGAGGUUUUUC
rnacentral:lncRNA from 1 species